GUAGGUGGCAAGCGUUGUCCGGAAUUAUUGGGCGUAAAUCGCGCGCAGGCGGUUUUUAAGUCUGAUGUGAAAGCCCACGGGCUCAACCGUGGAGGGUCAUUGGAAACUGGAGAACUUGAGUACAGAAGAGGAAAGCGGAAUUCCACGUGUAGCGGUGAAAUGCGUAGAGAUGUGGAGGAACACCAGUGGCGAAGGCGGCUUUCUGGUCUGUAACUGACGCUGAGGCGCGAAAGCGUGGGGAGCAAACAGGAUUAGAUACCCUGGUAGUCCACGCCGUAAACGAUGAGUGCUAAGUGUUAGGGGGUUUCCGCCCCUUAGUGCUGCAGCUAACGCAUUAAGCACUCCGCCUGGGGAGUACGGCCGCAAAGGCUG
rnacentral:rRNA from 1 species